rnacentral:rRNA from 1 species
AUUGAACGCUGGCGGCAGGCUUAACACAUGCAAGUCGAGCGGAUGAAGGGAGCUUGCUCCUGGAUUCAGCGGCGGACGGGUGAGUAAUGCCUAGGAAUCUGCCUGGUAGUGGGGGAUAACGUCUGGAAACGGGCGCUAAUACCGCAUACGUCCUGAGGGAGAAAGUGGGGGAGCUUCGGACCUCACGCUAUCAGAUGAGCCUAGGUCGGAUUAGCUAGUUGGUGGGGUAAAGGCCUACUAAGGCGACGAUCGGUAAAUGGUCUGAGAGAAUGAUCAGCCACCUUGGAGGUGGAACAGGGUCCAGGCUCCUGCGAGAGGGAGCAGAGGGGAAUAUUAGGCAGUAGGCGAAAGCCUGGUCCAACGGGGCGACGUGUGAGAAAGAAAUGUUGGGAUUGUGAUGCACUUUAUGUGGGGGGAAAGGGCAGUAGGUUGUUACGUUGCUGUUGUGACGUUACCGGCAGAAUAAGCACCGGCUAACUUCGUG